AACAACAGAAAUAUAAUGAUGCCCCUGUAUUUGAGUAGCACCUGGUCCCAACUCAUCAUCACCCUCAUUUUUUUUUGCUUUUCUUUUUGUUCCAAACUCUUAAUUUAACCUAAUGGGUUCUUAAUUCAUAAUUAACGAAGCACACGUGGUUCCCUGAUCUGGCGAGUGCCGCUCCUUCCAUACUCUCAUCCGUUUCUCUAUAUAUAUCCUUAUAAAACUGAGCCGGCGCUCCCCGCACGGGCUUGGGGCUGUCUUCCCAAAACAAUAUCACCCUCGAAUUUUCAACUCAACGCUAAGGACAAACCCAGGAGAGAAAAAACAAAAAACAAAAAGAGAGGGAGAUUUAACCCGGCGACGGCGGUUGUUAACCGGUGGACAUACAUACAUGGAAUCGCAGGUGGCCAGCGAGCAAACGGAGUCAUGGACUGACGAGAAGCACUUGAGGUUCUUGAAUAACAUGGAGGCGGCUUUCGUUCUCACCAUGCUGGCGGAUAACGGUCGUCUCCUCCCACUCGAUCGUCACCUUCCCGACAGCUCUGAGUCGACCUUGGAUUUGAAAACUCUCCGACGGAAAAAGCAUGCCACCAACUCAGUUGAUUUUUUGGGUACGACUACGAGAACCAGAGAGAAUGGUAGGCCUGACAAGAGAAGCAGGAGACUUUCAUCUCAGCCGUGCGAUUCAUCACAAGAUCAGGUGGUCCCACAUUCUGAAUGCAGAGGUGAUAAGGAUGAGAAAGACCCUCCAAAAUAAUGUGCCAGUUGCUUCCAUGGCACCUGUCAACUCAUGAGAAAGAUUCUUGUUGUUCAUAGCAACGGCAGUGUAGGAACGUUGCGUGUAUUAUGUGAAGUUGGCAAAAGAGAUAUUUUUAUUUAUUAAUGAGCAUGAUCAGUCUUUAUUGGCUAGCUGAAAGCUGGAUUUACCUGUUUAUAUAUAUAUAUAUAUGUUAUAAGUGUUAAAAAUAGUUUAUUAUUUGAAAAAUCAAAGUCGGCAGCGUGAAGAUUUGAGAAUGCCUU